rnacentral:lncRNA from 1 species
AAAACCCAGAUCUAUAACCUCUCCCUAUAUAUUCUGCAUGCAUUGAAGUAGGCUCAAACCCUCAGGGACCUGGUAUAGACGCAGAAUCUGUUUCACACAACAACUGCUAUUUGAAGGAAAAAAAAAAAAAGAAGCAAAUGAUACCAAGACAAGCUCAUAACAGAGAUCCAAUCAGCAGAUGUGUACGGAUGAAAAUACAGUGAGAUGAGUCAGAAACCGGCCAAGGAGGGUCCCAGACUCUCCAAAAACCAGAAGUACUCCGAACACUUCAGCAUACACUGCUGCCCGCCGUUCACCUUCCUCAAUUCCAAGAAGGAGAUAGUGGAUCGGAAAUACAGCAUCUGUAAGAGCGGCUGCUUCUACCAGAAGAAAGAGGAGGACUGGAUCUGCUGCGCCUGCCAGAAGACCAGAACCAGCCGCCGUGCCAAGUCCCCUCAGAGGCCCAAGCAACAGCCAGCUGCGCCCCCCGCGGUGGUCAGAGCGCCAGCCAAGCCACGGUCCCCUCCGAGGUCUGAGCGUCAGCCACGGUCCCCUCCGAGGUCUGAGCGUCAGCCACGGUCCCCUCCGAGGUCUGAGCGUCAGCCACGGUCCCCUCCGAGGUCUGAGCGUCAGCCACGUCCCCGCCCAGAGGUCCGACCACCGCCAGCCAAGCAGCGUCCCCCUCAGAAGUCCAAGCAACAGCCGCGCAGCAGCCCCCUCAGAGGGCCAGGCGCCAGCCGUGGGGGGUCCCCCGUCAAAGCUUCUAGGUUCUGGUAACACCAUCUCUUCCCUUUUGUUCCCCAGCCCUAAGGUUAGUAGUUGCUUCCUGUGUUUACUAACACCGGGCUGUCUCCAUGGCCCUCUUCAGCCUUAUUACCCAACCUGUGUAAUCAGCUCCCUCCAUUAAAUCCCCUCUGUUUGAAAUACC